GCCCUAGUAGCGCAGUCCAAUAGCGCGUCAGUCUCAUAAUCUGUAGGUCCUGAGUUGAAGUCUCACCUGGGGCA
rnacentral:tRNA from 1 species